rnacentral:rRNA from 1 species
UUGAACGCUGGCGGAAUGCUUUACACAUGCAAGUCGAGCGGCAGCGCGGGGGCAACCCUGGCGGCGAGCGGCGAACGGGUGAGUAAUACAUCGGAACGUACCCAGUUGUGGGGGAUAGCCCGGCGAAAGCCGGAUUAAUACCGCAUAUUCUGUGAGCAGGAAAGCAGGGGAUCGCAAGACCUUGCGCUUUAGGAGCGGCCGAUGUCGGAUUAGCUAGUUGGUGAGGUAAAGGCUCACCAAGGCGACGAUCCGUAGCGGGUCUGAGAGGAUGAUCCGCCACACUGGGACUGAGACACGGCCCAGACUCCUACGGGAGGCAGCAGUGGGGAAUUUUGGACAAUGGGCGCAAGCCUGAUCCAGCCAUGCCGCGUGAGUGAAGAAGGCCUUCGGGUUGUAAAGCUCUUUCGGCGGGGAAGAAAUCGCACGGGUUAAUACCUCGUGUGGAUGACGGUACCCGAAUAAGAAGCACCGGCUAACUACGU